AUGCUAACCUACAGCAUGGUCUUUAGGAUGAGGCCAGUGGUGCUAAUCUACUGCAGUAGAAAUGAUGGGUGGCCUUUCCAGCUUGGAUCACAGUCAUUCAGUCAGGUUCUUCCUGAGGUAUCCUCGUCAGCAAUACAGAACAUGACAUUGAGGAAAGAGAAGAAAGGGCAGUCUCGCUGCUCUCCCUCGUUCUAUGCCAGAUUCCAGCUGAACCCAGAAUGGAGCCAUCAUAAUUAAGGGGAUGAAGAUCUAAGACAUAUUUUACUUGCAUUUCCAAUGAGCGUACCUAUAGAAAUUGUAAACAAUUAUUAAAAAUAGGUUAUUCAUAGAUUUUGGAUCUGGCUAUGAAAUAUAAAUAUUCCUUCACCCACACAACUCUGAAAUAACCAAAUGAAAUUUGUAAUGGAAAUAUGAUUUAUCAGGAACUUGUGACUUUCUCAGAGAUAGUCUUCCAAUCUACGCUUGAAUCUAUAUUUUUCCCAUCUUCUGUAUCUUCUAUAUACAAAAUUUCAGAGAAAAAUCAGUUUCUCCCUUUUUUUUUUUUUUUUUUUUUUUUCCCCACCUAGGACAUGAGUGAAAAAAAGAAAUAGAGAAGAGACACUUCCUAGUAACUUCAGAAUGGGCCAGUGAUUUGGAUUAUCACAAGUCUGCACCAAGGCAGAUAAGUACCAGUUACUUUAUACGUGGCAGAACAUCCCCAGAAGGAGAGAUCUGCCCCCCUCUCUGAAGAGUAUUCUCACAAAAGGUAGACCUAGAAAGCUUAAUAUCUGUGAAGUAGUAAGAGAACUUGAAAAUCAUUUUCCCAGUGCACCUAUUUGUGGUGGCUAAGGUCAAAUUUGAGGCAUGUUGAUGAGUUGGCAUUCUCCGGCAGUGUCUCACUCUUGAUAUUUAUGUGCAUUCUUCUAUACAUAUACAAAUAACUAGAAAAUAGAUGAAGCAUAGGUAAAACUGACACUAGGUCUUUCUGCAUCUCUGGCUAACCUGGUCCUCUAUCUUGCUGAUAAUAAAUGGAGUAAGCCUAUAGGUUUCUGGUGAACA
rnacentral:lncRNA from 1 species